rnacentral:rRNA from 1 species
GGGUCAGUAGGUUGGUCGUGCCACCGGUACGUACUGGUCUCACUGAUUCCUCCUUCCUGAAGAACCGUAAUGCCAUUAAGUUGGUGUUGCGGGGAAACAGGACUGUUACUUUGAAAAAAUUAGAGUGUUUAAAGCAAGCUAACGCUUGAAUGCAUUAGCAUGGAAUAAUGAAAUAGGACGAUCGAUCCUAUUUUGUUGGUUUCUAGGAUUGACGUA